UGUGUGUUAGUGGAAGCGUCUGGAAAGGCGCGCGAUACAGGGUGACAGCCCCGUACACAAAAAUGCACAUGCUGUGAGCUCGAUGAGUAGGGCGGGACACGUGGUAUCCUGUCUGAAUAUGGGGGGACCAUCCUCCAAGGCUAAAUACUCCUGACUGACCGAUAGUGAACCAGUACCGUGAGGGAAAGGCGAAAAGAACCCCGGCGAGGGGAGUGAAAAAGAACCUGAAACCGUGUACGUACAAGCAGUGGGAGCACGCUUAGGCGUGUGACUGCGUACCUUUUGUAUAAUGGGUCAGCGACUUAUAUUCUGUAGCAAGGUUAACCGAAUAGGGGAGCCGAAGGGAAACCGAGUCUUAACUGGGCGUUAAGUUGCAGGGUAUAGACCCGAAACCCGGUGAUCUAGCCAUGGGCAGGUUGAAGGUUGGGUAACACUAACUGGAGGACCGAACCGACUAAUGUUGAAAAAUUAGCGGAUGACUUGUGGCUGGGGGUGAAAGGCCAAUCAAACCGGGAGAUAGCUGGUUCUCCCCGAAAGCUAUUUAGGUAGCGCCUCGUGAAUUCAUCUCCGGGGGUAGAGCACUGUUUCGGCAAGGGGGUCAUCCCGACUUACCAACCCGAUGCAAACUGCGAAUACCGGAGAAUGUUAUCACGGGAGACACACGGCGGGUGCUAACGUCCGUCGUGAAGAGGGAAACAACCCAGACCGCCAGCUAAGGUCCCAAAGUCAUGGUUAAGUGGGAAACGAUGUGGGAAGGCCCAGACAGCCAGGAUGUUGGCUUAGAAGCAGCCAUCAUUUAAAGAAAGCGUAAUAGCUCACUGGUCGAGUCGGCCUGCGCGGAAGAUGUAACGGGGCUAAACCAUGCACCGAAGCUGCGGCAGCGACACUAUGUGUUGUUGGGUAGGGGAGCGUUCUGUAAGCCUGUGAAGGUGUGCUGUGAGGCAUGCUGGAGGUAUCAGAAGUGCGAAUGCUGACAUAAGUAACGAUAAAGCGGGUGAAAAGCCCGCUCGCCGGAAGACCAAGGGUUCCUGUCCAACGUUAAUCGGGGCAGGGUGAGUCGACCCCUAAGGCGAGGCCGAAAGGCGUAGUCGAUGGGAAACAGGUUAAUAUUCCUGUACUUGGUGUUACUGCGAAGGGGGGACGGAGAAGGCUAUGUUGGCCGGGCGACGGUUGUCCCGGUUUAAGCGUGUAGGCUGGUUUUCCAGGCAAAUCCGGAAAAUCAAGGCUGAGGCGUGAUGACGAGGCACUACGGUGCUGAAGCAACAAAUGCCCUGCUUCCAGGAAAAGCCUCUAAGCAUCAGGUAACAUCAAAUCGUACCCCAAACCGACACAGGUGGUCAGGUAGAGAAUACCAAGGCGCUUGAGAGAACUCGGGUGAAGGAACUAGGCAAAAUGGUGCCGUAACUUCGGGAGAAGGCACGCUGAUAUGUAGGUGAAGUCCCUCGCGGAUGGAGCUGAAAUCAGUCGAAGAUACCAGCUGGCUGCAACUGUUUAUUAAAAACACAGCACUGUGCAAACACGAAAGUGGACGUAUACGGUGUGACGCCUGCCCGGUGCCGGAAGGUUAAUUGAUGGGGUUAGCCGCAAGGCGAAGCUCUUGAUCGAAGCCCCGGUAAACGGCGGCCGUAACUAUAACGGUCCUAAGGUAGCGAAAUUCCUUGUCGGGUAAGUUCCGACCUGCACGAAUGGCGUAAUGAUGGCCAGGCUGUCUCCACCCGAGACUCAGUGAAAUUGAACUCGCUGUGAAGAUGCAGUGUACCCGCGGCAAGACGGAAAGACCCCGUGAACCUUUACUAUAGCUUGACACUGAACAUUGAGCCUUGAUGUGUAGGAUAGGUGGGAGGCUUAGAAGUGUGGACGCCAGUCUGCAUGGAGCCGACCUUGAAAUACCACCCUUUAAUGUUUGAUGUUCUAACGUUGACCCGUAAUCCGGGUUGCGGACAGUGUCUGGUGGGUAGUUUGACUGGGGCGGUCUCCUCCUAAAGAGUAACGGAGGAGCACGAAGGUUGGCUAAUCCUGGUCGGACAUCAGGAGGUUAGUGCAAUGGCAUAAGCCAGCUUGACUGCGAGCGUGACGGCGCGAGCAGGUGCGAAAGCAGGUCAUAGUGAUCCGGUGGUUCUGAAUGGAAGGGCCAUCGCUCAACGGAUAAAAGGUACUCCGGGGAUAACAGGCUGAUACCGCCCAAGAGUUCAUAUCGACGGCGGUGUUUGGCACCUCGAUGUCGGCUCAUCACAUCCUGGGGCUGAAGUAGGUCCCAAGGGUAUGGCUGUUCGCCAUUUAAAGUGGUACGCGAGCUGGGUUUAGAACGUCGUGAGACAGUUCGGUCCCUAUCUGCCGUGGGCGCUGGAGAACUGAGGGGGGCUGCUCCUAGUACGAGAGGACCGGAGUGGACGCAUCACUGGUGUUCGGGUUGUCAUGCCAAUGGCACUGCCCGGUAGCUAAAUGCGGAAGAGAUAAGUGCUGAAAGCAUCUAAGCACGAAACUUGCCCCGAGAUGAGUUCUCCCUGACUCCUUGAGAGUCCUGAAGGAACGUUGAAGACGACGACGUUGAUAGGCCGGGUGUGUAAGCGCAGCGAUGCGUUGAGCUAACCGGUACUAAUGAACCGUGAGGCUUAACCUU
rnacentral:rRNA from 1 species